rnacentral:rRNA from 1 species
UACAGAGGUGGCAAGCGUUGUUCGGAAUUACUGGGCGUAAAGGGCGCGUAGGCGGCUCGACAAGUCCCGCGUGAAAGCCCCCGGCUCAACUGGGGAACUGCGCGGGAAACUGUCGGACUUGAGUUCGGGAGAGGGAAGCGGAAUUCCGGGUGUAGCGGUGAAAUGCGUAGAUAUUCGCAAGAACACCAGUGGCGAAGGCGGCUUACUGGUCCGGUUCUGACGCUGAGGCGCGAAAGCGUGGGGAGCAAACAGG